AAAAAAUAUAUAUAUAUAUAUACACACACACACACACACACACACACACACGGAUCAGGAUUCAAAUGUACUAACGUGAUACAAGGCCUAUCACUUUUUAACUUCACCAUACUGUAUUUUCAGUCAUUUUAACAUACACAGCUAAUGAAUAUCUAUCUUAUUUGCACACUUAGGAUAAUAACAGAAAUUAAAAGUUGAACAUAUGCAGUUUAUUUUGUCCAAAAUAUAAUUGUUGUUUCUCUGUGUUGGGAAAGGCUGUCUCCUGCAUGCAGUCCUGUGUGUGGACUCCAUUGGACCACAGAAGAAUGAGCCUUCAACCCGAACACUUCCUUACCAACAGAUAAAGAGCCUUCACAGCAUGUGCCGGGUUUAUCGCCUGGUAUGGGAAUAUCUUUUCCUGUUUCAGACUCUGUAUACUCCUUUAAUCUGCUUAAGCUCAUAUGUCAAUGGCCCUCAGACACACCUCCAGCUUUCUGUAUUUCAGACUGCAUGGGAAGGGGGAGGGGUCCCUCUAUUGCAGCACAAAGUGGGGUGGGUGCAGCUAACUCCCCACAUAGCAUAGCUGUGAAGUGGAUCCAGUGGCCCUGAGGGACCAACACAAUGUAAGGAGCUGGACCUUGUGCACUCUUGCUCCUCUCUUGCUGUGAGUAAACACUGUAUGGCUUGAGUCCAGCAUGUGUGUUUUCUGUAUCACAACCUCGGGUCGUGCAUUGGUCUCUUCCCUGGAAGGCACUUUUUAUCUGUCUUCUAACCUUGGCAGCACAGCCCGGCCAUCCAGUGAAUGAUGAAAUACUUAGCACUUGUUGUCAUAGUAGGUAAUUUUGUGAAUUCAAAUAAAUAAUCAGCUAAUAAAAUUGGCUUCAAAAUACUCUUGGAUUGGAGAAUUGAAAAGGCACAUUUCACUCAAGGCAUCUUUGCCCCUGGGCUGUAACUUAAAAUACCUCUUUGAUUUCAGGCCUCCUUAUCUAACUUCUGCUCAGUCACCUCUGCAUUCUACCUGUAGAAAAGUGACUCAACAUCAUUCCAGAAGUCCGGAAUUCUACAAGAAUCAUCUGAUGUCAAAAAUAACUGAGAACAAUCUGAACAGGAGAGGAAGAUAGAAGUAACUAUGAAAGAUUACAGAGAUUAGAAAGAGCCACUGUACUUGAAAGAAAGCAAUCAUCUCUGAGAGCUCUUCAAUUACAACGAAAUUGUCAGCUAGAUAGAAGGAAUUAAUACUAGUGUUUGAUACCACCUUACGAUGACUAUAGGUAACAAAAAUACAUGAUUUAGUUUAAUAUAGCUUGAAGGAGGAUAUAUUUAUGAUGAUGAAUAUGCUAAUUACCCCGAUCUGAUCAUUCUAUUUUAUAUGUAGCAAAACCUUGCCCUGUACUCAGUAAAUAUACACAAUUAUUGUGGAUCAGUAAAGAAAAUAAAAUGCAAUUAGAAAGUAUAGAGCGGAAUCUCAUGAAUAUUAAAAUAUUAAUUACAAAAUAGCUAUAUGGGAUAGUCAUAUAAGAUGGCAUAACUUGAAAACCAGAGUUCCAUUGAUUCCCUCAAGGCUCCUAAGUGCCUGGGAGUUAUUUGGAGAGGUAGGGAUGCUGGUGAUGUGGGAGCAGCGAUGAAUCCUUCCAGGGUGGGCAACAGGCUGAACUCUGGCUCUCUUAUCCUAUUUUCAACUAUAACAGCUGUUUUAUAUUCCAAAUAAUACUGCAGUUGAUUGAAAAGUCCUCUAAUUUAAGAAAUUAAGAGUUUGAGAAUACAUAUUAUAGUUAAAUGAAAUAACUUUAUAUCUGGUGAGAUUGUGAUUGCAGAAAUUUCACACAGAUAUUAAUAAGAAGAAAUUUUUUCUUUUAAAUAUUAGUAUUCAAAUUAUUCCAUGUGGUUCUAUAAAAGUAUAAUUUUUUAAAAGUAUGAUUUAAUGAGAAGGCAGAAUCCAAUAUAUUAUGUCAUGUCAUGAACCAAUUGGCUGCCUUAUUGGCCAAAAUAAAAGCAGAGUGUUAUGGAUUUUGUGCACACAAAGUUUCAUCAUCUAAUGGGAAAAAUACGGAGAACCCUAACAAAAUUAAUUCUCAGUCUGUUCCCAUAGAUAUCAUGUAAAUUUGUUUCAUGUUGUUUUAAGGUUUCCUAUUUUUAUGCAUUUAUAUAGGUUAGUAUGAUUUAAACUAACGAAUCAACCAAACAAAAUUGAUGGCAAUUGUAUUCCAGAGUGACAAUUUAAGUACCAUGAGAUAAUGUUCAUAUUGAGGCUUUGAUAAGAAAUUCUUAAGUUUAUAAAAAGCUCUUAACAUGAUUAAUAACUCCAACUAAUAUUCUAAAUAUAUUAAAUAUAAUAAACAUGAGACAAAGUCUUUUUCAAAGUUAUCUAAGUUCAUGUUAAACUAUGAAUUGGUUGGUACACAACCAAAUGAAAAUUAGAUUCUGCAUAUAAAAUAAUAACUUUCUGGGACAAAAAAUCCACAUGCUAUUUAGCAGGGAAUGAAGGUCCUUUCAAGGAAAUAUAGAUCUAAUCUGUG
rnacentral:lncRNA from 1 species